rnacentral:rRNA from 1 species
AGUGAACGCUGGCGGUAGGCCUAACACAUGCAAGUCGAGCGAACGCACGGUAAGCGCUUUCUCUUACGGGUGGCGAGUGGCGGACGGGUAAGGCAUACAUAGGCAUCUUAUUUUUCGUGGGGAAUAUCGUGGAGCAACAUACGCUACUACCUCAUACGUUCUACCGCUGAAUUCAGGAGUGCUUGGCACCUUUCGCGUUUGUAUGAGACGAUGUCGGAUUAGCUAGUUGGCGGGGUAAAGGCCCACCAAGGCGACGAUCCGUAGCUGGUCUGAGAGGAUGAUCAGCCACACUGGAACUGAGACACGGUCCAGACUCCUACGGGAGGCAGCAGUGGGGAAUAUUGGACAAUGGGCGCAAGCCUGAUCCAGCCAUACCGCGUGGGUGAAGAAGGCCUUCGGGUUGUAAAGCCCUUUUGUUGGGAAAGAAAAGCAGCAGGUUAAUACCCCGCUGUUCUGACGGUACCCAAAGAAUAAGCACCGGCUAACUUCGUG